rnacentral:rRNA from 1 species
UACACACCGCCCGUCACACCAUGGAAGCAAGCAACACCCGAAGCCGAUGGCCUAACCCCUUGUGGGAGGGAGCCGUCGAAGGUGGGGCUCGUGACUGGGGUG